CUGGUUUCAAUUAAAUAUAUUUUUUUCCCUUCUAGGAAAACAGCAUACACCUAUAAUCUCUUCUAACUAUUGGCAGAUCUGUGAUGCUAUAGCACUCCACACCUUCCCAGUGGCUGCAGUUACACACAUCAAAUUUCAGGAUGGACGACAAGGAAAGAUUCUGGAGACUCUUUUGAGGUUACUCAGCUGAAUUGAAGAGCCUCCACUGAAGGUUUAUGAAACAAAGUCAUCUGUUGCCUGAAUGUAUC
rnacentral:lncRNA from 9 species